rnacentral:misc_RNA from 1 species
UUCCCGGGCCUGGGGCCCGC